ACUGCGCGCGCUCCAGCGCCCCAGAAGGCAGGGGGCAGCCCGGGGACCGGGGUCCCGGAGCCCCGUGGGAGGCGGGCAACACCUGUCGGGACCCGAGGGCGUGUCUGAGAUUGUGGCCUGAGGUGCUGCGCCUUCCGAUCCGGGGCAGCGGGCGUCCUGUAGCUGCGCCUUCCGAAUCCAGCCCAGAUUCUCCUACCAGCUGCUUGGGUCACGUCGGUGGAACUCCUAAAGGGAUGCCUUCAAAAUGUGUGAAUAAGCUUCAAUCAGACUGCCCUUCCCAAAGAAAAUAACUAUAAAUGCUGGAAAAACUACAAAACAGCCACCUGAAGGCACUGGCGAGAGACAAAAGCAAGCAAAUUCUGGAGAAGAGUCAACACUUGGAAGAAGGGAGCUGCACUGGGUACAUGGGGAAGGAACAGUGUCUCUGCAUGAGAAUGGCCAAAGAACAAGAUACAUUUCCCCGUGGAGAGCAAUCCUAGAGAGAGGGAAGCAUGGGUCAGAAUAAGGUGUACUGGCCCCAGGGUAAUAGCAUGUAUUUCUGUUGCAUUGGUGUUUCCAAAAUAAUGCUUCGGUUCCAAGUUUCAGGAAUUGGUUGGGGGAGCAUGGGGAUCAUACAGUGAUUCAGGAGCUUCCUUGCAAGUAAGUGAGUGAGCCAAUCAAAUAAUUUAUGUUUAAAUCUUUCACUGUGUUAAAUGUUGAAAAAUAAAGCAAGUGAAUUCCA
rnacentral:lncRNA from 1 species